rnacentral:rRNA from 1 species
CAGUCGCCGCGGUAAUACGUAGGGUGCAAGCGUUAAUCGGAAUUACUGGGCGUAAAGCGUGCGCAGGCGGUUAUAUAAGACAGAUGUGAAAUCCCCGGGCUCAACCUGGGAACUGCAUUUGUGACUGUAUAGCUAGAGUACGGCAGAGGGGGAUGGAAUUCCGCGUGUAGCAGUGAAAUGCGUAGAUUUGCGGAGGAACACCGAUGGCGAAGGCAAUCCCCUGGGCCUGUACUGACGCUCAUGCACGAAAGCGUGGGGAGCAAACAGGAUUAGAUACCCCUGUAGUCCCUGUCUCUUAUAU